UCCUAGAGAAUUCUGAGACCCUAAAGCAGAGGGCAGAGGGUGAUUGGGAUUCUUUCUUUCUUUCUUUCUUUCUUUCUUUCUUUCUUUCUUUCUUUCUUUCUUUCUUUCUUUCUUUCUUUCUUUCUUUCUUUCUUUCUUUCUUUCUUCCUUCCUUCCUUCCUUCCUUCCUUCCUUCCUUCCUUCCUUCCUUCCUUCCUUCCUUCCUUCCUUUCUUUCUUUCUUUCUUUCUUCUUCCUUCCUUCCUUCUUUUCUUUCUUUCUUUCUUUCUUUCUUUCUUUCUUUCUUUCUUUCUUUCUUUCUUUCUUUCUUCUUCCUUCCUUCCUUCCUUACUUCCUUCCUUCCUUCCUUCCUUCCUUCCUUCCUCCCUCCCUCCCUCCUUCCUCCUUCCUUCCUUCCUUCCUUCCUUCCUUCCUUCCUUCCUUCCUUCCUUCCUUCCUUCCUUCCUUCCUUCCUUCCUUCCUUCCUUCCUUCCUUCCUUCCUUCCUUCCUUCCUUCCUUCCUUCCUUCCUUCCUUUCUUUUUUAAAAUUCUGCUUGUAUCCUGUCUUAAUUGUCAGGGAAGGCUUCACUUGGUCUAGUUUCUGGAAUGUGGAAUCAGAGUUGAGGAGCCAGGGGCCACAUUUGGGAUUAAAAAACAAACCAACUUAUUUCCAGUCAAGAUUUUGACACAUAUGAUCCAUGUAACAAUGGUCAAGGCACAACCUCUUGCUGAUCCAGACAAUAUUUUAACUCUAAAUUACAAAUCAGUUGCUUUUCUACAUUGAUAGGUAAGGGAAUUUCCACAACCAGAAUUCUCCAUACUGAUGAAAUCAUAUGUAAUAAGGGGAAUGAAAUUAUGCUGUUAUAGCCCUCUCCUGAAAAAAAAAAAAGAAAAAGAAUGAAAAAAUAAUAGAUGAAGCAGCAUAGUAUAGUCAGUAAAGUGCUAAACAAGGAGUCAAGAAGACCUGGAUUCAAAUCUUGCCUUAGACAUUUCUAGCUGCCUGUCCUCCCUGGUUAAAUUAAUUAAUCUCACUGUGAGUCAGUUUCCUCAUCUGUAAAAUGAGGGGACUGGAUUCAGUGAACUCUGUAGUCCCUGAGAGCUCUAAAUCUAUUAAUAAUAGUGGCCAUUAUCUAUUCUCUUUAGAGGAUAGUUACCUAUUGAAAGUAUUAUCCUUAAUCUUUAAAAAAUUGUAUUCA
rnacentral:lncRNA from 1 species